rnacentral:rRNA from 2 species
UGAGGAAUAUUGCACAAUGGGCGCAAGCCUGAUGCAGCAACGCCGCGUGCGGGACGAAGGCCUUCGGGUCGUAAACCGCUUUUCUGGGGAAAGAGCAAGGACGGUACCUCAGGAAUAAGUCUCGGCUAACUACGUGCCAGCAGCCGCGGUAAAACGUAGGAGGCGAGCGUUAUCCGGAUUUACUGGGCGUAAAGCGCACGCAGGCGGCUCUGUGAGUCGGACGUGAAAGCUCCCGGCUUAACCGGGAGAGGCCGUUCGAUACUGCGGGGCUUGAGGUAGGGAGAGGAAUGCGGAAUUCCCGGUGUAGUGGUGGAAUGCGUAGAUAUCGGGAGGAACACCUGUGGCGAAAGCGGCAUUCUGGCCCUCAUCUGACGCUGAGGUGCGAAAGCGUGGGUAGCAAACAGG